ACCAGACUCCUACGGGAGGCAGCAGUGGGGAAUAUUGCACAAUGGGGGAAACCCUGAUGCAGCGACGCCGCGUGAGUGAAGAAGUAUUUCGGUAUGUAAAGCUCUAUCAGCAGGGAAGAUAAUGACGGUACCUGACUAAGAAGCCCCGGCUAACUACGUGCCAGCAGCCGCGGUAAUACGUAGGGGGCAAGCGUUAUCCGGAUUUACUGGGUGUAAAGGGUGCGUAGGCGGCAUGGCAAGUCAGAAGUGAAAGCCCGGGGCUCAACCCCGGGACUGCAUUGGAAACUGUCAGGCUAGAGUGUCGGAGAGGCAAGUGGAAUCCCUAGUGUAGCGGUGAAAUGCGUAGAUAUUAGGAGGAACACCGGCGGCGAAGGCGGCUUACUGGACUGUAACUGACGUUGAGGCUCGAAGGCGUGGGGAGCAAACAGGAUUAGAUACCCCAGUA
rnacentral:rRNA from 1 species